UACGAAGGGUGCAAGCGUUAAUCGGAAUUACUGGGCGUAAAGCGUGCGUAGGCGGUUCGUUAAGUCUGUCGUGAAAGCCCUGGGCUCAACCUGGGAAUGGCGAUGGAUACUGGCGAGCUAGAGUCAGGUAGAGGGUGGCGGAAUUCCCGGUGUAGCGGUGAAAUGCGUAGAGAUCGGGAGGAACAUCUGUGGCGAAGGCGGCCACCUGGACCAUGACUGACGCUGAGGCACGAAAGCGUGGGGAGCAAACAGG
rnacentral:rRNA from 1 species